rnacentral:rRNA from 1 species
GACGAACGCUGGCGGCGUGCUUAACACAUGCGAGUCGAACGGAAAGGGCGCGUUCGGGGGGGACUCGAGUGGCGAACGGGUGAGUAACACGUGAGUAACCUGCCGUUGACUGUGGGAUAACUUCGGGAAAGUGGGGCUAAUACCGGAUAGGAGCGCGUGCGGCAUGGGGGGGGUUGGAAAGUUUCGGCGGUUGGGGAUGGACUCGCGGCUUAUCAGCUUGGUGGUGGGGUAGUGGCUUACCAAGGCUUUGACGGGUAGCCGGCCUGAGAGGGUGACCGGCGACAUUGGCACUGAGAUACGGCCCAGACUCCUACGGGAGGCAGCAGUGCGGAAUCUUGCACAAUGGGUGCAGGCCUGCUGCAGCAACGCCGUGUGCGGGAUGACGGCCUUCGGGUUGUAAACCGCUUUCGCUCAUGACGAAGCUUUGUGUGACGGUAGUGGGUAAAGAAGCACCGGCUAACUACGUG